GCUUCUAUUUCAACUGUCAAAAGUAAAGACAAAUAAGUCAAUGGGACCUGAUGGAAUACACCCAAAGCUAUUAAAAGAGCUUAGUGGUGUACUAGCAAAACCAUUAACAGAUUUAUUUAACCAAUCAUUGUUAACAGGAGUAGUCCCAGAAGAUUGGAAGUUAGUGAAUGUUGUGCCCAUUUACAAGAAAGGUAAUAGGGAGGAGUCGAGCAACUAUAGGCCAGUAAGCCUUACUUCAGUAGUGGGGAAAGUGAUGGAAACCAUGUUAAAGGAGAGGAUUGAUGAACAUCUAAAAACACAUGGAUUUCAAGAUCAGAGACAACAUGGGUUUACUUCAGGGAGAUCAUGCCAAACUAAUCUUAUUGAUUUUUUUUGAUUGGGUAACUAAAAUUAUAGAUCAGGGUGGUGCAGUAGACAUUGCUUACCUAGAUAUCAGUAAGGCUUUUGACACUGUUGCACAUAGAAGGCUUAUCAAUAAACUGCAAUCUUUAAG
rnacentral:lncRNA from 1 species